AGCUCUAUUAGAUAUAGUUUAAACGUGUUUAUUAACGUGUCUGUUUAUAAUAACAUGUUAUCUCGACGCGUGAAAAAUAUAAAAAAAAAGAAAAAAAGAGCGAUGAGGUACGUCUCGCGGUAUCUGAAAUUCGUACGGCACGGCGGUUUUUUGCUGCUGUUUAACAAUCCCGCCGCCGGAAACGGAGAAAGAAAAUUCUGCGACGGUGAUCCGUUACACUUUUUCUACGCGCAUCUAUUUAA